rnacentral:rRNA from 1 species
UAGAUACCCUGGUAGUCCACGCCGUAAACGAUGUCUACUAGCCGUCGGGGUCCUUAGUGACUUUGGUGGCGCAGCUAACGCGAUAAGUAGACCGCCUGGGGAGUACGGCCGCAAGGUUAAAACUCAAAUGAAUUGACGGGGGCCCGCACAAGCGGUGGAGCAUGUGGUUUAAUUCGAUGCAACGCGAAGAACCUUACCAGCUUGACAUCCUCGGAAGUUUCCAGAGAUGGAUUCGUGCCUUCGGGAGCCG